rnacentral:lncRNA from 1 species
AUGUGUGCAGAUCAAGGGACUGAUACCCUUUAUGUCUGCCACAUUCCAUCCAAUGGCAUCUCUACGGGAUUUUAGGAUAGCUAAAAGUUUGGCUUCCUGAUUGCUAGUAAGACUAGACGAGAUCACCACUGGAUAUGUCUCCUUUUCCCCUAAGAAGACAUACUUGAGGUUAGAUGGAAGUGUUUUUAACUCCAAGGUAGGAGGUUUAACACUUGAUGGAAGGAGUCGAUUUUCAUUGGGCGGCAAUCUCUCAAAUUUUUGUACCCAACUAUUCAACUCACAAAUUUCAAUGGUAUCUAACAAAGAGUAUAUUUGCCUAACCUCUUCAUUUAAACUGUACUCUAUGGUUGUUGGAUUUAUUAAACAUAAUUCAAGUGGAUCAGAGUA